UAAUACAGAGGCCUCGAGCGUUAGGCGGAAUCACUGGGCUUAAAGCGUGUGUAGGCGGAUGUCUAAGUGCCUUGUGAAAUCCCACGGCUUAACCGUGGAACUGCUUGGCAUACUGGAUGUCUUGAGCCACUCAGGGGCGAGCGGAACAAAUGGUGGAGCGGUGAAAUGCGUAGAUAUCAUUUGGAACACCAAAGGUGAAAACAGCUCGCUGGGAGUGUGCUGACGCUGAGACACGAAAGCCAGGGGAGCAAACGGGAUUAGAUACCCCGGUAGUCCUGGCUGUAAACGAUGUCCACUAGAUCAUGGCGGCUCUGACGCCGUCUCGGUCGAAGCAAAAGUGCUAAGUGGACCGCCUGGGAAGUACGGUCGCAAGGCUA
rnacentral:rRNA from 1 species